UGCGGGCUCCCCAACCACGCGCCGCUAACCCCGCCAGGGCCUGACGGCAGCAACGGUACGCGGCAAACGAGUGUGGGGGGCCCAUUUUU
rnacentral:SRP_RNA from 1 species